GGGCCGUUAGCUCAUCUGGUAGAGCGCUACAUUUGCAAUGUAGAGGUGGCCGGUUCGAGUCCGGCACGGUCCACCC
rnacentral:tRNA from 2 species